CCUACGGGAGGCAGCAGUGAGGAAUAUUGGUCAAUGGGCGCGAGCCUGAACCAUCCAAUUAUCUUUAAUUAUUACUUCCCUACUUUUUUUAAACUUCUUUUAUAAAUUAGUAAAGUGAGGCACGUGUGCCUUUUUGUAUGUACUUUAUGAAUAAGGCUAGGCUAACUCCGUGCCAGCCGCCGCGGUAAUCCGGAGGAUCCGAGCGUUAUCCGGAUUUAUUGGGUUUAAAGGGAGCGUAGAGGGUGGGUUAAGUCAGUUGUGAAAGUUUGCGGCUCAACCGUAAAAUUGCAAUUGAUACUGGCAGUCUUGAGUACAGUUGAGGUAGGCGGAAUUCGUGGUGUAGCGGUGAAAUGCUUAGAUAUCACGAAGAACUCCGAUUGCGAAGGCAGCUUACUAAACUGCCACUGACAUUGAUGCUCGAAAGUGUGGGUAUCAAACAGGAUUAGAGACCCUGGUAGUC
rnacentral:rRNA from 1 species